GCGUCCUAUUAGCUAGAUGGUGUGGUAACGGCACACCAUGGCGACCAUAGGUAGGGGCCCUGAGAGGGGGAUCCCCCACACUGGUACUGAGACACGGUCCAGACUCCUACGGGAGGCAGAUCUGAGGAAUAUUGGACAAUGGGCGCAAGCCUGAUCCAGCCAUGCCGCGUGAGUGACGACGGCCUUAGGGUUGUAAAGCUCUUUCAGAUGCGAAGAUUAUGACGGUAACAUCACAAGAAGCUCCAGCUAAUUUCCUGCCAUCAGCCUCGCUGAUACGAAUGGAGCAAGCGUUGUUCUAAAUCGCUGGGCGUAAAGCGUACGUAGGCAGACUUUCAAGUCCCAAGUGAACGCCCAGGGCUCAACCCUGGAACGGCUUUUGAAACUGGAAGUCUAGAGUCCCGGAUAGGUUAUGGGAAUUCCGAGUGUAGCAGUGAAAUGCGCAGAUAUUCGGAGGAACACCAGUGGCGUAGGCACCUAACUGGACGGGAACUGACGCUGAGGUACGAAAGCGUGCGGAGCAAACAGGAUUUGAUAC
rnacentral:rRNA from 1 species